rnacentral:lncRNA from 1 species
CCACCAGUCUGGUUUACCUUAGACAUCAAUUGGUUUAAUUAGUUUCGAUUAGAUCAACCUAACAGUUCAUGCUAGACCACUUAGCCAAGAAUCAAGUCUAUUUGGUUUUCGUUAAAGACAUGGACUUGACCAACUACAACUAUUGUAAUUGAUUUAGAGAAUCUUUGACCUAAUCUAAGACAACAAUUGAUUAGAUUUAGUCAGUUCUCUAAUUAAGUACAUCUUUAAUCUAACCUUAGGUCUAACCCAAUUAAUGGACCUUGUUGGUGCAAAAAUCCGCCUGCGCCGGAGAAGCUGGAGUCGAGGG